ACCUUAGGUCAGGCGAGAUUACUUGUUGAGUUUAAUCAUAUCAAUAAGUAGAGGAAAAGAAACUUACCAGAAUUCCUUCAAUAAUAGCAAGCAAACCAAAAAAGAGCUUAGCUUGAGAAUCAAGCACCCCUAUCAUUUGAAUUAUAGUUUGGAAAGGCAUUCUUAGUGGCAGACCAGGCCCAAGUCCCCUGGAAAAAGAUGUCAAAGAAGGUGAGAGCCCCAUUAUGCUUGGGCCCUGUCACACCAUGAGGCACUAUCUAUGAGUCAAGUUGUUUGGGAAUGCAGCCCUAAUCAAAUGGUAAAUUUCAUCCAAGGCUGAAUAUGGGCGAGAGAUCAAUAAUGAACAAGUACUAUAAGAGAAAGAUGAAAAAGUCUGUGAAAGAAAUGUCAAAGAGAGCUUGAAAUUGUCAUAAGGGAAAUGGAUGGAGGCUGACGAUGUGCCUAAGUUGGAUGUGGAUUGGUGAGAGUCGAUCAACCCAUUGGCUUAGGGUGUGGAUCGAUGCAGGUCAUGGUAGUGGCCCAAGUUGGGGCUUUUGAUAUGCCUGCAGAGACAUCAUUGUCAUGAUCAUGGAAUGCAGCAUAUGCCAUCUCAGCAUGCCCUAGCACCUGUAUGCUCCUGAUGUCAGCUUGCAAGCUCUCUAUCUGACUCGUCUUGAAAUAUGAACUAAUGAGUCUAAUAUGUGUGCGAGCCAAUAGGCAAGGAAACCCAUUAGGCAUAAGAAAGUUGAUUGGCAUGAUCCCUCGUGGGUGCACCAUUGAUUGACCUUGAUCUUAUGAUAAUGGUUCGAGUGUGAGCAUGCCUAUUAAGACCCAAAUGAUGGUGAACUAUGCUAGAGCAAGGUAAAGCUAGAGAAAACUUUGGUAGGAACCCACAACGAUGCUAAUAUCCAAAUCAUUCAUAUAACUUGGGUAUAGGGGUGAAAGACUAAUUGAAUCAUCUAGUAAUUGGUUCCCUUUAAAAUUUCCCUUAGGAUAGUUAGAGCUCUUAGUGAGUUCUAUUAGGUAAAGCCAAUGAUUAGAGGCAUCGGGGGUGCAAUGUCCUUGACCUAUUCUCAAACUUUCAAUAGGUAGGAUAGUGUAGCUGUUUUGUUAAGCCACAUCAUGGAAUAGAGAGAUCCAAGUGGGCCAUUUUUGGUAAGCAAAACUAGUAGUACAAGAUGAACAAGAACUCAAGUUACGAUGCCUAAAUGUUCACUUACCUGGAACCCAUAAAAGGUGUUGGUCAAUUAAGAUAGCAGGAUGGUGGUCAAGGAAGUCAAAAUCUGCUAAGAAGUGUGUAACAACUCACCUAUCUAAUCAACUAGCCCUUAAAAUGAAUGGACCUUAAGCACGUGACCCAUACCCAGCCAUCAAGGCAAAGGCCAGGCCCCAAUUAGUAGGAAGGGAUGGUUGUCACUUCAAAACAUAGGAUGUGAGCCUGUGCUAAGCAGCCAUCAGUGCUGAUUUUAUUGGUAGUAGCAAAUAUUCAAAUGAAAACUUUUAAAGGCCAAAGAGGGGAAAGGUUCCAUGUGAAUGGCACUUACACGUGGGUUAGUCAAUCCUAAGAGAUGGGGGAGGCUUAUUGAUAGUACGUCUAGCACGAGCUUCACAAUGAAAUUAGGUUAAAAUUACUAAACUAGGACAUGACGGUUGAUGACAACAUUAGGAAGUCUGAAGAUGUUGGCAGAGGCCUCAAAAAGAAUUAUCUUUUCAAUUUAAUGGCCUGCCUACCUUGGAAACAUCCUAGCUAAAGGUAGGGUAUAGUGGCCGAAAGAGCACCGCACGUUGUGUAGUGUUUGGUGUGCCCCUAGUGGCCAUUGAAACUUUGAAAGAUUGAGUGCCAUCCAUUCUCGAUUGUACUUAUAACUACAUCAAGUCUCCAAGGUGAAUAGCCUCUAGUCGAUCGAACAAUGUAGGCAAGGGAACUCAACAAAAUAGAUCUGUAACCUCAAGAAAAGUAUUGACUCUGAAGGCUAGGCACGGGGGUCUCAGUCCUAAACUUGUCAAAUACUGAUGCACUACUAAAGCUGAACCUAUAGCGAGUGUAGGUCACCAUGUGUUGACUGAAGGAUGGACUAGGAAUGGCUCUUUCGAAAGCCUUCUUGAGUGAUAAACAGUCAACUUAGAACUAGUACGGACUAGGGGAAUUUGAUUGUUUAAUUAAAACAAAGCAUUGCUAUGGUCACUACAAAUGCUCAUGCAAUGUUAUUUCUAUCCAGUGCUCUAAAUGUUAAAGUGAAGAAAUUCAACCAAGCAUAGGUAAAUGACAGGAGUAACUAUGACUCUCUUAAGGUAGCCAAAUGCCUUAUCAUCUAAUUAGUGACACACAUGAAUGGAUUAAUGAGAUUCCCACUAUCCCUAUCUACUAUCCAGUGAAACCAUUACCAAGGGAAUGGGCUUGGUGAAAUUAGUUGGGAAAGAAGACCCUAUUGAGCUUGACUCUAGUUUGACUUUGUGAAAUGACUUGAGAUGUGUAGGAUAAGCGGGAGUCCUUAGGCAAAAUUGAAAUACCACUACUUUUAAUGUUAUUUCACUUAUUCAUGAAUUAGAGAUAGAGCACGACCCCUUCUUUUGGAUCGAAGGCUAUCCUCAGUUAGUUGAUCUAGGUAGAAGACAUUGUUAGGUAGGGAGUUUGGCUAGGGUAGCACAUUUGUUAAAAGAUAACAUAGGUGUCCUAAAAUGAGCUCAAUGAGAAUAGCAAUCUCGUGUGGAACAAAAGGGUAAAAGCUCGUUUGAUUUUGAUUUUCAGUAUGAAUAUGAACUAUGAAAGGAUGGCCUGUCGAUCCUUUAAAUUUUUAGAAUUUAAAGCUAGAGGUGUCAAAAAAGUUACCACAAAGAUAACUAGCUUGUGGCAGCCAAGCAUUCAUAGCAAUGUUGCUUUUUUAUCCUUCAAUGUCGGCUCUUCCAAUAAUUAUGAAGCAAAAUUCACCAAGUGUUAGAUUGUUCACCCACCAAUAGGGAACGUGAGUUGGGUUUAGACCAUUGUGAGACAAGUUAGUUUUACCCUACUAAUGGUAACAUCACAAUAGUAAUUCAACCUAGUAUGAAAGGUAUGAUUGAUUCAUAGAAUUAAUCAUUAUGCUUGGUUAAAAAGCUAGCAACACGAAGCUACUAUGCACUAGAUUAAGAUUGAAUGCCUCUAAGUUAGAAUCUAGGCUAGAAGCAAUGCACAUGCCCGUCACCCAAUUGCCAAACCAUAGUAGGGGCCCAUGGCCCUAAGUGCAUGUGUCAUAGGUGUAGCCCCUAAGGCAAACAAGCCAUAUAGGCCUUCUUAGAGCUCAAUUCCCACCAAGUGAUGUGCAGAAUCCUUUGUAAAUGACUUAAAUAUGUGACAAGAUAUUGUAAGUGGUAGAGUGGCCUUGUUACCAUGAUCUACUAAGAUUCA
rnacentral:rRNA from 1 species